rnacentral:piRNA from 1 species
UGGCACGUGCCUCCUUUGCCAAGGUCCAGG